rnacentral:rRNA from 1 species
UGCAUGAUGCGAGCUAGGAGUAUGGGUAAUUGUGUGGAUCUAAUGGUUAUGCUGAAGCCAUUGGUUUACAGGGGUCGUAUGCGGUUGUUGUAGUCAGUGGUGAAAGCUUGCGGCUUAACGGUAACAUUGCCAGUGAUACUGCGAGACUUGAAUGUUUGUGAAGUAGCUAUAAUAUGUAGUGUAGCGGUGUAAUGCUGAGAUAUUACAUGGAAUACCUAUUGCGAAGGCAGCCUACUAACAAAUUAUUGACGCUGAUGGACGAACGCGUGGGGAGUGAACCCGAUUAGAUACCCUUGUAGUC